rnacentral:lncRNA from 1 species
UUUUUCUAAAUUUUUUAGUAUUUUAUAUUGGUGGCGCCAUUCAACAUGGCUCCACCAAAAAAUAAUUUUUUAAUACCCCUGGCUGACGUGACAAAGUGGUGGCGCUAUAUUAUAUGGUUCCACCAUUUUUAUUGUAGAAAAUAAGUUAUUUUUGUACAUAAUUAAAAAAAUAAAUUAUUUUAAUAAUUAAUUUAUUUUUUAGAGUUACUUUUAUAAAAAAUUAAAAAAAUAAAAAGAUAUGUCAUCAUCGAUUAAUUUAUUUUCUGUUCACAUGUUGUGUAGUCAAUAAUAAUAAAUUUAUACCGAAAAAUGAAAAAUAUAAAGGUUCGGUGGAUUCCAGUGUGUGAUAUGUCGGGCCCUACUUUUACCAGAUGUACACGUGGAUUAUAAAGGAAAUGCAAAGUGCCAACCAUCGGUGAGGUCAUCAACAGACCACCGUUUCUUAUAUCUCGUGUCUCUUCCGGUUUGCGAUAAAUUCACCACUAUAUCAUAUCGUUCUCCUCCAUUCCAUUUACAAUAAUUCUUCACUCAAAUACAUAACUCAUCCAUUUUUUUUAUUUGGUUUAAAUAAUUAUUUACUUUCAUAUUAAAAAUCUCUCAGCGUUACAUAAUAAUAAUUUGUUGAAACAAUUCUAUUUUUGUUCACUUAUAUAUAAGCGUGAUAAAAUUUAAUAUAAUUAAUGGAUCUCAACAUCAUAAAGUGUUAAGUUCAUUGAAAAGUAUUUAAAAUUUAAAUAAUAACAAUUUAAUUUAAUUUCAAAACAUAUGAAGAUAAUAUUUAAUUUUAUAUUUGACAUUUACAGGUGUCUAAUCAUGCACAAUAAUUUAAUUUUUCACACAAACGUACAAAAAAAAAUCAAAACAAAUUCUCUUCCACAUUAAAGCUUAUAUAAAUAAAUAUCUGAAAAUUAUAAUUUCCAAGCAUGUCGCAAUAAUUGUCCACUUAUUGAGAUUUGAAUGAGGGCAUGUUGCAGAGAAUUUAACAACAUUAAACUAUUUUUCUUGAGGCUCAACGGCAAUAUGGGUAUAAACAUGGUUGACAAUAGAAUUAUUCCCCAAUUAGCAAAUGCUAAUUUUAAUCAUGCUAGCUAAAUGGGGAAGUUGCAUUCAUACUUUCAGCCCUAUUCGUUCUGAUUGAAUGAUGGAAGCCUGAAACUCGUACAUAUCAUCUCUUAUAUGAUGAAACAACAAUAAUAUUGAAAUACUGACGGGACUUCUAGUAGAUGGGCGUCCUGUAAUGGGAAGAUCUGAACACAAACUAGGGCAAGUCUUUAUAAAGCUUUUAGUACAAGUAUCGACCUUUUUUCCGAUUUGAAAGGCUUUACUUGAUUUUAGGGUUAUAUAUAAAGUGUUCAAGACAUGUCUUUAUUUCGAGGUUGGAACUCUCCUACGCUAGAAGGAUUAGUAGAGGAAAGAGUUAACAUAUUCUAAAAGUUGGUUGUGGUCCAUGGAAGGAUUUUCCCGAUGUUUUGUACAAUCCAAAAAAUAUGUAAGCAACCACUAAUACACCUCUGACAAUUGCCUAGGAGCAAUAUGAUAAACUCGCAAAACCUUCACAAUUAGACCUAUUCAUAUGUUGGGUCGAGUCUUAACAAAAUUUUAGACUCGUUUGAUAGGCUUGGGCUUGGCUCGGCCUAGCACAAAAAACGAGCCUAAAUUUUUGUCCGAGCUUGACUCAGAUUGUAGAUCCUAAACUCGGGCUCGACCAAUAUUAAAAUUUUUUAUUUUAUUUUUAUAUAAAAAAUUAAAAAUAUAAUACGUAAAAAAAACACUAAAAAUAUUAAAAUAAAUAUUUUCCAACAGAUUAAAAAAUAUUUAUACUUAAAUAACACUAAGAUAGGUGCAACUUAACAAGUAAAUACCUCUAAAAUAGUAGUAAAAUUAACAAUAAAAUAAGAGUUAUGUAAUAUCUAAACAAUAUAAACAAAAUAAUAGCAACAUAAUAAUGACAAAAAAACAAUAAGAAAACAACAGCAAAAUAGCAAUUUUUUUUUGCAAAUUCAGUGCCCUAGCUAAAAAGUUUUACUCAAGGCUUGUCCUAUUUUCUAAACGAUUUUUUUUUUACAAAACUUAUUUUUAGGCAUAUAUUUUUAUCCAAACUUACACUUUCUACACCAAAAUUUUUUGAAACUCAAAUAACUAAGCUAGAAUCCAAAAAUUCUAUAUAUUAUAUAUAUGACUAGUUUUUUUACCUUCAUGAUGCACGGGCGGAUUGAGUGGAUUAAUUAAAAUUGUGACAGCCCUAAUUUGACCCUAGUCAGAAAGUGGUUUUGGGAUCACAAAAUCGAGUCACAAAAAUAAUUAAAUGUUAUAUCCUGUGAUUAUUACAUAUGAAAGUGCAUGUGUGAAAAUCUCAUGCUUUGAUUUUGCCAUUUGUGAGUGAAAUUAUGAAAUAGGACCUAUGUGAAAAUUUUUGAAAAUGCUAUAGGCAAAUUUGUAAUGGCCAAAUAAAUGGUAGUACAAAAUAGGAGGAUUUGCAUGUCAAACUCCCCAUUUUUGUGUAGUGGCCGGCCAUGAUGUUAAUGGUGGACAACAUGUGCAAAAUUUUUUAUUGAAGUUAUGGCAUAGGUAUGGCACAAAUUAAUAUAUGCCAUUUUGUAUCAUAAAAUGUUUAGGAAUAAAGAAUAAUAAGAAUAACAAAAUGAAAAAAAAAGGAGAAGGUUUGUUCAUUCUUGUUCUUCAUAGCCGAAAUUUAGAGAAAAAGAGAGGAGGAAACUCUUGAAAAAUUCGGUCACUAAGGAGGGAGAAGAUACAAGGUAAGUUCAUGGUAAUUUGCUUUUAUUUUGAUGUUCUUGAGUUCUUCUUGAUUCUACCUUAACCCAUGAAACAUAUUGUAACAGUCAAAUUAUUCAGUGGUGUCAGAAACAGUGAUUCGAGAUCACUAAAUCCGACGAGUAAUUUUAGAAAUUUUAACAAAUAAUAAUUAUAGGCCAAGCGCGAACUUAAAAGAAUUAUUUUUUAAUUAGUGAGUUUUGCGACUUUAAAAGAAUUAAUCAAGAAAUUAGGGUGAAAACAAGGUAUCGAGACCUCAGAUUCAUAAACCGAGCCAUAAAUAUUUUUAUAAAUAUUUAUGGAGUGUUAUUAAGUUAGUAUUAAAGUUUCGUUAGAAAAUUUUAACGUUUGGUUAGUCAAUUAAUUAAAAAGGACUAAAUUGAAAAUAGUGCCAAAUUUAUUAAAUUGUGAUUAAAUAGUUUAAGUGAUUAAAAAGGAGGGAUUUAAAAGGAAAUUGGACCCAAAUUGUAUGGGCUGGACGGUUGGGCAAGAAAAUCAACAAAAAAGACAAGGAGAAACAAGGGCAAAAUGGAAAAUUUUGUAAAUUAAACAUAUAAAACAAGACAAAUUUGAAAAAUCUAGAGAUAUCAUCAUUUUUCUUCAGCAAAAACGCCAUGGGAGGUCUGAAAGCUGCUGGUUUUUCAUACUUUGACAUAUGUGAGUUCAAUUCUUGCCCUUUUCUUUGAUAUUUUUAUGUUUUUGUGACUUUUACAAUUAGGUCCAAGUGUUUAAUUCAUUAAUUUUUGAUUUUAUGAACAAAAUUAAAAGCUAUCAUUGAUAAGUGUUGGCUGUUUAUGAUGAUAUAAAAUGAAUUUGAAGCUUUGAUUUUGUUGUUUGAUGAUUUUAUCAAGUAAUUUCAAUAGAAAUUGAUUUUAGGACCUAAAUUGUGAAAAAGUUGUGAAUUAAGGUUUAGUGUUAAAAUUCUGAUUUUCAAAGGUUGUGUAAUAGUUUAGAAUGAUGGAAUAAAAUGUUAAUUGAGAAAAAUUAGCUUAAUAGACGGGCUAAUUGAGCAAGGACUGAAUUGUAUGAGCUGUGAAAUUUAGAGGAAAAAUGGUAAUAAACAUCUUGAACUAAAACAGUUUUGGACAGCAGCAGUAGGUUGACUUUGAAAAAUCACCAUAAAUUGUAUAAAUUGAAUUAGAGGAUGAAUAAAAUAUGGAAUUAAAGCUUAUUGAGUCUAGUUUCUUAUAGAAGAAACAGUGUAAGCAAUUGAAUUGUAAAUUAUGAGAUAUAAUGAAUUUUGUGAGACAAGGUUAGAACGAAUUCGGGUUCCCCUGUUUUGGCUUUGGAAAAUCACCCAUAAUUGGAUAAAAUUAAUUAGAGGCUCAAAUUUAUAUGCUUAGAAUCCUUAAUGAGUCUAUUUUCAAUUGAAAUCAAUGGGAACAUUAUCUGAGUUCUGUACUAUGAUAUAAUUAAUUUUUAGUGAAGAGAGGUCAGAACCAUAGGAUAGUGAAACAGGGGAAAAUUAAAUGAAUAAACUGUACUAAUUGGAUAAACCAAAAAUUCUAAAAAUUUUAUGGUGGAAUGAUAUGUGAGUCUAGUUUCAGGGAAAAUUUACGGAUCUUAAUUUCGAGCUCUGUAGCUCGAAUUAUAAAUGAUUGAGUGACUAUGACUCGUGUGAACAGCUUGAUGUGAGCAUUAAUAAGUAAAUUGUGAAAUUGUACUUACAAGAAUGUUAUAUACAUUAAGGAUGCGAAAUAGAGAGGAGGAGGAGGAAAACAAAUGAUAUAUGUUUAUAAGAAAACAGUAUGAGAAUGAUACAUAUCAUGACAUGUAUAUAUAUGACUAGUUUCAAUAUGAUGCUUGUUGGGUAUGAAGUUAGAUUGAAAUGUCUAAGGCAAGUAUUUUAUUCCGCGCAUCUGAAAUGUGGUAUUUUAUAAAGAUAUGAUCUAGCUUUAAAUAUAUAUGCUUGAUGAUUAAGCUGAAAAUAUUUUGUAAGAUGAUAAUCAUGGUAUAAAAGUAUAAGUGGUACCAUAAUAGACAAGGUAAAAUGAGUAUGAGAGACACAUGUAUGAUGACAUACAAAUGCUAUGUUUGUAGUUUAAUUGAGAAUGUUUAAUCAUUAAAUGAAUACUAUGUUAUAUGCUUUUGAUUUUGUAUAAGUGUGUAAGAGAUUAAGGUCGACCAAGGCUUGGAAAAUAGCUUAGAUAUUGACCACACAGGCAGAGACACGGCCGUGUGUCUCAGCCGUAUAUGGAACACAACUUUAGGACACGGGCGUGCGAUGUGGCCGUGUGCCCCUAAAUUGAUGAUGAUGUCUUAAACAGAAAGCUCCACGGCCAAGGGACACGGGCGUGUCCCAAGCCACAGAGGCGUGUGGAAUCCACACGGCCUAAUCACACGGGCGUGUGGGUACUGCUCACAAGUAAACUUUUUUAAAAAAAAAUAAUUAAGCGAAAAAUUUUACGAGAAAUCAGUUGAGCUCCAACUUGAUUUUAAUGUUCAUGUUGGGCUUCAAGGGCCUAAAUAAAGGUCGUUAUAUAUAUAUGAUCUCAGAAAGUGAAUAGUAAUGUUUCGAUUAAUCUGUAAAUGUUCUGUAUGUAUUGGUAAUACUCUGUAACCCUGUUUCGGCGAUGGAUACGGGUUAGGGGUAUUACACAUAUUUUUGAUUUUUGGUUGUGUUGUGAGCAUUCGAUCAUGAAUGGAAAUGAAGGAAAUGGUUGUUGUUUCAUGCUCUUUUGACGAAUAAUGGAAUAUAGGUGAAGUUGAGCCAAACAAAUGAGCAUGCAUGUACAUUAGAUGCUAAAGGGAAAAAAUCGGCUAACAUGUUGUGUGUAUUAUGGCCGAAUGUGAACUUGGAUAAUAUUGAGUAAUGUUUGUGCUUUAAAAUGAUGAAGUGGAGAUUAUACUUAAGUAAAAUCAUAGAUAUAUGAUGAUUGAUUGGUGAUAUACAUGUUUAAAAAACAUGCAUGCAAGGUAUGUGUGAAAGAGCAAUUUGGUAAUAAAUCUGCUUGGGACAGCAGCAGUAACGUGACUUUGGAAAAUCACCAUAAAUUGUGGGAGAUGAGUUAGAAGCAUAGUAAAUUAUGUAAUUAAAUCUUAAUGAGUCUAGUUUCUUAUAAAAGAAACCAUGUAAGCAAAAUAAUUUCCGAUAAUGAGAUAUUUGAAGUGAUGUGGGACAGGGUCAGAAUGACUUCUAGAUCCUCUGUUCUGUAUUUAUAAAAUCAUUAUAAAUUGUACAAAAAUGGUCCUAAGAUGAAAUUUAUAUGAUUAGCCUCCUUAAUGAGUCUAGUUUCAAAUGAAAUAAACGAGAAUAUAUUUUGAAUUCUGUACAAUGAGAAAUUUGAUUCGUAGUGAAGAGUGGUCAGAUUAGUCAAACAGUGGAACAGGGGAAAUUUUAAGAAAAAUCUGGUAUUGAUUGGCUAAAUAAAAAAAUUCUGAAAUUUUUAUGGAUGGAAGAUAUAUGAGUCUAUUUUCAGGGAAAAUUAACGGCACUUGGUUUGGAGUUUCGUAGCUCCAGUUAUAAAUGAUUUAGUGACUGUUGCUCAGGAAGACAGCUUGCAGUGAAAUUAUAAUUAUGUGGUAAACAUUGACAAAAAUUUGUUAAUGAGUUGCUUAUUGAUUUCUUAUAAGCUUACUAUGAUCAGUAGGUGUGAAAGUCGAAUGUUUAUAUAUAUUAUAUUUUGAAAGUGAUGCUUGAAUAGUCGAAUAAUGACUAGUUUAAAAUCUUUGAAUUUAAGCUCAAGAGCAUAGAGGGGCAAAUUCGGAUAAGGAAAAAAAGAAAGAAAGUAAUCGAAUAGCCGUUGUAAUCGUUCGGCAACAUUCAAGGUAAGUUCUUAAGUUUUUAAGCUUGAUUCCUUUUCAUAUGCCUAAGAGUUAAAUUAAUAUGGCAAGGAGAAUGUAAAUUUUAUUUAGUUAAUGAGCCGAAUAUGUAAUGAUUUAAGGCUAUAAGCCGAUUAUGACUAUUAUGCUUAAGUUGAAUUGGAUUUGGAAAUUUGAUGAUUGAUGUGAAUCGAACAUAUAAGAAAUGGUUUCAUGUUUACGUUCAACUAUAAGACCUUGUGUUAAAUGGACAAUCAAUUUCGUUCAAUACAUUAAGUUGGUCAGGUAUGCGAUAUGUACUUAUGCAUAUUAAAUCGAUUGGAAUUGAAUCAUGAAUGUGAAUUGAGAAGCAUAGGUAAAAAUGCCUAUGUCAUAUAUGUGAGUAAGGGUAAAACCAUCGUAAAUCAUCGAUAAGGAUGGGCUAUGUGCGGAACCAUCUUAUAAUUGCUAAUUUGAAAGGUUAUGUGCGAAUCAGUGAGCAAUAUGUAUAUAUUAGAUGAAUUGUGACCUUUUGGUUCUACUUGAAUUAAGUUGUGCGAUAAAUAAUUUAUGAAUAUGACUUAUAGUCGAAUGGUCACUAUGGGUUAAGUUUGAAUGGUGAAAUGGAUAUGUGAUAUUUAUGUAUGACCUUUGAACCGAAAUGUAAAUGAUGGUGUUCAUAUGGAGCUUAUAUCCGAAUGUAGCAAAUGACUACUAAUGUGAUAUGUUGAAUGAGAUGUAUUAAUAUAUGAUUAAAUAUGCAUGAUAUUUGAUGUGUAUCCGAGUUAAAUCCCGCAGGCUUCGUGCUGGUAUUAUAUCCGGGAUAAAUCCCGCAAGCCUAGUGCUGGUAUUAUAUUCGGGCCUUCGUGCCUAGCAGGCUUCGUGUCGGUGAUGUGUAUUUGGGCCUUCGUGCCUAGCAGGCUUCGUGCCGGUGAUGUGUAUUCGGGCCUUCGUGCCUAGCAGGCUUCGUGCCGGUGAUGUGUAUUCGGGACUUCGUGCCUAGAAGGCGUAAUGCCGGUGAAAAGAUAUGUUACGUGAAUUCGGUGUUCCUUGUAAGAUAAGGGUUUAGCCGAAUGUUAAAUAUGAAAUGAUAGUGUAUUGUAUCAUGCUUAUAUGGCCUAAUGACAAGUAUAACAUGUUGGUAAAUAUGCAAUGUGCUUUUAUAAUCGAACGAUAAGUUUGAAAUGAAUGUGAGUGAAAUGUUAUGCAUAAGCUAUCAAAUGCUAAGUGUGAAAAUGAGAUGAAAGAAAAGUGUUUGAGAUGUAUAAUUACAUACGUUCGAAUGAUGUUAGUACUUAAUUGAUAUGAAUAUGUUAUAUGGAACUUGUUGUUUUGAUUAUUCGAGCCUUUGAGCUUAGCAGACUAUAAUGUCAGUGAGAUACUAUUCGGGCUUUCGAGCCUAGCAGGCUAUAAUGCCGAUGAAAUGAUAUCGGGCCUCGAGUCUAGCAAGCGUAAUGCCGGUAAAAUGAUAUGUUACGUGAAUUCGGUGUUCCUUGUAAGAUAAGGGUUUAGCCAAAUGUUAAAGAUGAAAUGAUAGUGUAUUGUAUCAUGCUUAUAUGGCCUAAUGGAAAGUAUAAAAUAUUGGUAAAUAUGCAAUGUGCUUUUAUAAUCGAACGAUAAGUUUGAAAUGAAUGUGAGUGAAAUGUUAUGCCUAAGCUAUCAAAUGCUAAGUGUGAAAAUGAGAUGAAAGAAAAGUGUUUGAGAUGUAUAAUUACAUACGUUCGAAUGAUGUUAGUACUUAAUUGAUAUGAAUAUGUUAUAUGGAACUUGUUGAUUUGAUUAUUCGAGCCUUUGAGCUUAGCAAACUAUAAUGCCAGUGAGAUACUAUUCGGGCUUUCGAGCCUAGCAGACUAUAAUGCCGGUGAAAUGAUAUCGGGCCUCGAGCCUAGCAGGCGAAAUGCCGGUGAUUUGAGAAAAGCCUAUGACUAAGGUACCUCGUGUUAGAUUGUCAAAUGAAUACAUUUAAUACGUUAAGUGGGCCAGGUACACAGUAGGUACUCAUAUGUGAGUUUGAUUUGAAGUGAAUCAUAAGUGAGUAAUAUGAUACGUACGUGAAUAAAUGUUAAAACUAUACCUAUGAUCAUGAUACAUCUGGUCAGGGUGUGAAAGUAUGUGAAAGUAUUUGAUUUAAUUAUGUUAUAUGAAUUCAGAUUAAGUGUGAUAAGAAUGCUGAACGUGCAUUAUGUGCUUGUGUAUAUUCGACCAGAUGGCAAUAUCCCUAGAAUUUGGCCUCUUAAGAAAUUGAAAAAUCGAAGUAUAAUUGCGUUUAUUUGUUUGCAUUGCUUAAGACUUACUAAGCUUAUGAAAGCUUACUCCGUUGUUACAUUCCUCUGUUUUAUAGAUUGUUGACUUCAGUUACCUGCUCGGGUUGGAGUUCACCGGAGAUAUUAUCACACUGUCGAGCUCAUGCUAUUGGUGUAAGUAAAUCCUAGUAUUUCGAGUUUAU